UACGGGAGGCAGCAGUGAGGAAUAUUGGUCAAUGGACGAGAGUCUGAACCAGCCAAGUAGCGUGCAGGAUGACGGCCCUAUGGGUUGUAAACUGCUUUUAUACGGGGAUAAAGUGAGGGACGUGUCCCUUUUUGUAGGUACCGUAUGAAUAAGGACCGGCUAAUUCCGUGCCAGCAGCCGCGGUAAU
rnacentral:rRNA from 1 species